UACAGAGGGUGCAAGCGUUGUUCGGAAUUAUUGGGCGUAAAGCGCGUGUAGGCGGCUUUGCAAGUCGGGUGUGAAAGCCCUCAGCUCAACUGAGGAAGUGCGCCCGAAACUGCAGAGCUUGAGUGCCGGAGAGGGUGGCGGAAUUCCCCAAGUAGAGGUGAAAUUCGUAGAUAUGGGGAGGAACACCAGUGGCGAAGGCGACUACCUGGCCUGUUCUUGACGCUGAGGCGCGAAAGCUAGGGGAGCAAACGGG
rnacentral:rRNA from 1 species